rnacentral:rRNA from 1 species
GACGAACGCUGGCGGCGUGCUUAACACAUGCAAGUCGAACGAAGUGGCGAACGGGUGAGUAACGCGUAAUCAACCUGCCCCUCAGAGGGGGACAACAGUUGGAAACGACUGCUAAUACCGCAUACUGUAGGAGGGGAUUGCGUCUGCUUCGCUAGUUGGAGGGGUAUCGGCCCACCAAGGCGAUGAUCAGUAGCCGGGCUGGGAGUAGGACCGGCCCCAUUUGGACUGGGACACGGCCCAGACUCCUACGGGAGGCAGCAGGGGGGAAUCGUCCGCAAUGGACGAAAGUCUGAUGGAGCAACGCCGCGUGAGUGAGGACGGCCGUCGGGUUGUAAAGCUCUGUUAAUCGGGACGCGGUACCGGAAUAGAAAGCCCCGGCUAACUACGUGCCAGCAGCCGCGGUAAUAC